rnacentral:lncRNA from 1 species
GGAAAAUCUUUCAUUUCAUCUCCAAAUCCAACAAAUAAGUGAGGAAUCGAGCGAAGUAAACCGAUUAAACUUGUUUUCUAGUGACUAACUAGUGAGUGGUGGUGUGAUUCUUGAAGGGGAGAGCUUGUGCUACACUUGGUGACUUUUAUUCAAGGUAAGAGAGUUUAUCUCUCCAAGUUUUGCUUUCAAAUUUGUUAAAUUAAGCUUAGUAGUUUGAUAUUGUGGUAGAAUCAUGAAUGAUGAGUAUGUUUUAGUAGUUUUCCCCAAUUUAUUUGAUGAACUAGGGCUUAUGGAAAUUCUGCCCAAAUGGUUUUAUGAUGCUUAUAUGUUGCAAUUGAGGUGUUAUAUGGUGUUUUGGUAGUGAUUGGACCAAGAAAUUAAGGAAAGAUUCACUAGAAACUCAAAAUUUCCAAAAUCUGGAAAAUUCUCUCCACAUUCUGUCCGAAUUUUUAUCUAUAUGUUAGAGGCUGUUUUGGCCUUAGCUCAAAGAAUAAAAGUUGUAUAGAAUGGCAUUUUAUAGGUGCCUACAAAAUUUCAGCUCAAUCGGAGCAACGUAGGACGUGAAAAGUCCAAAAUACCCCUACU